rnacentral:lncRNA from 1 species
UCGCCGCCUAAAACUCACCGACUUACGAAGUUUCCGAUUUCCACAAUGAUGGUAAUGCGAAUUUGACCGUUCAGAUUAACUUUAUCUAGCCGUUUAUCUCCCCUCUAAUUGUCUAUAAAUUGGAUCGCCCAGCCUUGUUCAUCAAUCAUCAGGAAGCCGGUGGUUCGGGUUGGUAUUAUUUUUCGGUGUUGCUUUUGUUAUUGGUGGUCGUGUGUCAUUGAUUUCAAUUAUUGGAUUGAGCAUAGGAAAUUCGAUGGUAUGAAUCCCCCUUGUGGAUUUUCGUGUUUUUGAAAGAACUUUGGUUUUCUCGUUCAUCCCUUGAAUUCCAACGUGAAGAUAUUAUCAUUUCCCUGCUCUGAUGAUAGAUGUAUUGGUAAUCAUUCCAACAAUCUGGGUUUAUGGUAUUUUCUCGAUUCCCGUAUUUUUGGAAGAACUUGGGUUUUCUCGUUCAUUCCUUGGAUUCUAACGUGAAGAUAUUAUGAUUUCUUGGUCUGAUGAUAGAUAUACUCUUGAAUUCUAACGUGAAGAUAUUAUGAUUUCGUGGUCUGAUGAUAGAUAUACUGGUAAUCAGUCCAAGAACCUAGGUUCAUGGUUAUUUUCUUGAUGCUCAUUAUUUGAAGCUUGGAUCUUUCUGAUAAUUCUUUGGCAGUUCUAUCCCGUUUUCCUCCGUUUUGUGGGGUUUUCUUUCUUGGUUUGUUAAUAUUAGAUAUUGUGAUUUCCUGGUCCGAUGAUCAAGCAGAUAAUCACUCAACUCUGGGUUUCUGGUAUUUUCUUGACACUCUUCUGAUGAUUCUCCAUGGGUUUUUCUUCCCUGAUUUGAUCAAGUUUGAUUUAUCGUUUAUCCCUUUAAUCCUAACUUGAAGGUGUUGUGAUUUCCUUGUCCGAGACCAUCAUUUAAAGAACCCGGGUUGCUGGUAAUUUCUUGAUACUCAUGAUUGGAACAUUGGCCUUUAUGUUUAUCCCGUUUUCCUCCGUUUUGUUGGGUUUUCUUUUUUGGUUUGGCAGAUGCUUGUGGUCGUCCAAGCUUUUAGUAAUUUUGUAUUGAUUCCAGUUACUGGAUCGAGAAUAAGAACUUAUGAUAUGAUUUGAUUAGUUACUUUUCUCUCCUGUGUAGUUCUCAUAAUUUUGCAAAAACGGGAUUUUUUUGUUUAGCACUUGAAUCCUAACUUGAAAGUAUAUAGUGUUUUCUUGAUAUCCUGACAAUAAUUUCAAGAAUCUGGGUUUCUGGUAUUUUCUUGAUAUUCAUUAUGCAAACUUGGUCUUUCUGAUUUUUCUUCUUUGGUUCAGCAGUUGCUGAUUUUGGUAUUUUGGUGGCAGUACAAGUGUUGAUAAUUUUUUAUCGAUUACUAUUAGUGGGGUGGGAAGAAGUUUUGAAGGUUUGGAGUUUUUUUCUCUGGCCGAAACUUUGGAUUUUUAUUUAUUUUUAUUUAUCCAUUGAAUCCUAAUUAUGAUUUCCUUGUAUGAUGAUGAUAAUAAUAGAUAUACUGACAUUAAUUCCAAGAAGCUUUGGAAGGAUGAGUUUUGGUGAUAUUGCAAACUGGUAUUUUCUUAAUACUAAUUAUUUUUAAUCUUGGGUUUUCAUGAGGAUUUUUUGGUGGUUUUAGCCCGUCCAUUUUGUGGCUUUCUUCCUUGCUUUUGGUGGUUUGGUGUUGGUUUUUUGGUUGGCCAUCCCAGCUAGAUACACUGACAGUUAUUUCAAGAAUCUAUAUAGAAGGAUUGGAUUUUGGUGCCAUUGCCAGGCGUGGAACUGGUAUUUCUCAAAUUAAUUUUCUUGAUACUCGUUAUUUGUAUAGUUGGAGUUUUUCAUGAUUUAUGGGUUGUUUUAGCUGCUCGUUUCCCCUCCUUUUUUGGGACCAAUCUAUUUCUGCUUGAUUUUAUUUACUUCAUCUAGAUUUUUUGCCCUGGUUUUAUUUCCUCCUGUUCAGAUUUUUUAUAGGUCCAGAUCUGUUUUAGUGAUUAAGACAUGGAGUUGUUUGGACGCAAAUUUUUGCACCUGGAAUCUAUUUAUUUGGUUUUAAGUGCAUGCGAUUUCAACUGCCAUCAGAAAAUUUAGGUGUGAACUGUUAAUUAUCAGAAAGUGGUGUUACUGGUGGGGGUGCGGUGGAGCCUACUUUUGUGAUUUUGGGUUUUUAUUUUUUAUCAUUUGACCCAUACAAAAGGCUUUCUUUGGUGUGUCUUUAUGAGUUUAUUUGGUUCUCAGGAAUUGCAUCAAGUGGUUUUCAGGAUGGUGGUGAAGCAAUUAUUUAUAUGGUUUUCGGUGGUCUUAUUGAACUAUGUUCUGUUAGUUGCAUGGAAUAUGAUCUUCACAUUUAUAAUGGGAAAACCGUUUUCUGUUGUGAUUCUUCAUCCGCUGAUGGAAGUCGUCGUGAUUAUGGAUAUUAAUAAAAAUGGGUGUAAGAUUCUCAGAUGUUUUACUUGAUUUCUUGUUCAAUGGUCUCAGCUUGUGCUUGGGGGAAUUCAGGUGGACACUGGUUAUUUUAUAAGGUGUUCUGGAGGGGAAAACCUAGUCGUCGUUUACUGCAGCCACGGCCCACGCUUACGAUGUUGAUUUGUAACCUCUCUCAGACUGUGCUCAUGUAGAGCUUUUUUUUGGGUCUUUUCAUAUAAAAUGCCUUAGGUUAUUUGAUGUUUUUUUUUCCACAUGCAGAUUCGACAAGAAGAGUAAUGUGUGAUAGGGAAACUAUUGGGUCUCAGGGUGUCAUCAAUCUAUUUGUAUUUUCUAUCCUUUUACCAUCAUUUCUUAUUCCAUUCAAUUUUCCCCCUCUUUUCAGCUUCCUGCCUUUUUCCCUUUCUGUUUGCAGAAACUGUUUAUAAAAAUUGCUGUGGUGACCAUCCGAUCUUUCAAGCUUUUGUCGGCUGUUUUGGAAACUUAAGCUGCUAAUUUCAUGGUCUUCGUUUGGUUUGUUGAAAAUACUUCCUAUCCUUUUCUAUAACCCUUGAUCCAGAUGGGUACCUACUAGAUAGGGUGGCAGACUGGCAGUUGGCAUUGAUAAGAACAGAACUCUAAGUUUGGGCAAGAUUGAUGAAAUAUUGAGCUCUUCGAAGGAACACAGUUUCGCUAAUAUCGGAGGUGCAAUGACUUGUUUUCGUAACAUUCUUUCCUAGUAUUUUUGAGCACUCGGGUUUCAAUGUUAUCAUAUUUCUAAUAUAUACUGAUCCAUUACCCUUUUUUGAGCAAGCACCCUUUAUAGUUGGAUAUGAUGUUUCUAUCUAUAUUUCCAUUUUCUUCUCUACUUCUGUAGAGAACUACCCUACGUUAGUAGACGGCGACAGUUCAAUCUACUACAACUUUUGUAGCAUUGAAAUUGCAGGAUGAUGGGAGGAUUUUUUGCACCUGCUUGUUUGUAUGAAGUUCAUUCUCUCUUUCCUUGAACUCAAAUUUUACCUUCGAUUCUGCAUUUACUAAUGGAUAAGAGUAUUCACAAUUCUGCUCGUCAGUUUUCCAUGUACAUAUCUUAUCUCUGAAGGGGUAUUAUGAGAUGAGGUCAACAGGCAGACUUAUGUUUCACUUGGUUAGAACAUCUAUUCCGAAUACUUCUACUGUUUAGGCUUAGUGUUCGUAGUGAAAGGCAGUUCUGAAGCUAAAUAAUUAUUUCCUGUGGUUUGUUUAGGAUAAUAUUUUCACAUGAUAAGUUGUACUCUUAUAUUUCUAAAUAAUUUAGGUAUUCGCAGAUGAUAUUUGGGUGGACAGUGACACCAUAUGGAGAAGGGGCACGAAAUUUUCAACUCAUGUUUUUGAUCUUCAGUGAUAGUAGCAUUUGUUGUCCCCUUUGAGACGAUGGUGUUCUGUCGUGGUAACCUCUUCACGCUCGACUUUUUUUCGCUAUAAGUAGAUUUUUAUCCUUGUUUAUUUCCUCUCCCUCAGAUUCUUCUUUUUUUAGGUUGAGUUCAGUUUUCAGUGUCUGGAUUCUGCGUAGAUUAAUUUCAAAAUGCACACAACCUUGACUCUGAUUGGCAAAUUAGUCUUGUUUAGUGUAUAGUGGUGUUGCAGGUUGUGGUGAUUUGGAACCCACUCCUUCGAUCUGUUUUGCUAAGAAUGGAGUUUUAGUCCUCUGGUAUUUCAGUGUCUUGAUUGUGCAUAGAUUAAUUUCAAAAUGCACACAAGCUUGAUUCUGAUUGGCAAAUUAUGUCUUGUUUAGUGUAUAGUGGUGUUGCAGGUUGUGGUGAUUUGGAACCCACUCCUUUGAUCUUUUCUGCUAAGAAUGGAGUUUUAGUCCUCUGGUACCAUUUCUGUCAUUUGAUCCUAACAGAAGGCUUCCUUUGGUAGUUUUAUACAUUGCUUUAUUCCUUAGGAAUUUGCAGUUUUAAGCGGUUGAUGGUGGGGAAAACAACGCCGUUAAUUGUUUGCUGUGGUUUGUUAUAAAUGACGUUUCUGUGAGUUGAUUGGAAUAUAAUCUUCACAUACAUAUUGGUACAGAAUCUGGUUUCCUUUGGUGUUUCAUCCACAGCUGGAAAUCGUUUUGGUCAAAUAAAAAUGGAUAUUUACGGAAUAAACGGUGUAAGAUUUUCCUUUCUUUUUCUUCACUCAUUUCUGGUUCAUCAGUCUCAGUUGUGUAUUGGGGGAGUUCAUGUGGAGUUUGAUCAGUUUACAAAGACCAAGGCCAUGUUAAGGGGAACUUAUUCAUUGUUCACUGCAGCUACAUGUGUAUUGGUAAAUUGUAAUCUUUCUUAGUCUUUGCUCUAACAUGAAAUGGAAUCUAGUUUUUUUAGUCUUUUAAAUCACCUUAGGUUCUCUGAUGUGCUUCUGCAUUUGCUGAUAGAUUCGACUGGAAGAGGAUGACACAUGUAACUGAUAAGGUGUUAAGUUUAUGUGUGGUGUUAGUUUAUGAUUUUGUUGGCCUUUGUACCUAUAGUUUGUUCUUGUAGACAAGGCCUUCAACUUGAAAGGAAGGAAUUCAUUUGAACUUAUUGGGGCACCUGCAUGGGUCAGGAAUAGUAAAGUGGUUUUCAGGACAGUGGAGCCAAUAUUGUUAAUUUUUUGUUGUGGUUUGUUUUAAUGAUAUAUUUUUAAGAGUUGUUUGGAAUGUGAUUCUCACUUCAUAUUGGUACAGAAUCUGGUUUUCUUUGGUGCUUUUUCAUCCACAGCUGGAAAUCCUUUGGUCAAAUAAUAUUCGAUUCUUAUGGAGGAAAGGGUGUAAAAUUCUUCUCUUUUCUUUGCUCAUUUCUGGUUCAUCAGUUUCAGUGUGUGCAUUGGGGUUGUUUAUGUGGAGUCUGAUCAUUUUACAAGGUCUGAGCUGUGAAGGGAAACUAUUUUGCGGCUACAUUCACAUUGGCGAUUACAUCUAUCUUUGCUCUACAUGAACUGGAAUCUGGACUCUCUUCAGUUUAGUAUAAAAUGCCUUAAGGUUUUUGAUGUUCCUCCGUGUGCAGUUAGCUUUGAUGGGGAGAGGAUGACACAUGAAUCAGGUAACUAAUAAGGUGUUAGCUUUGUGUGUGUUGGUUUAUGAAUUAGGUAGUUCUCUCUGCAUUUCUGGACCUUCAACUUGCAAGGAAAGAAUUCGUUGGAACAAACUUCUUGUCAGGGAUCUUCUUGUUGGAUAGAUGAAACAACAUACUAUUUAUAAAAGAUUAAGCUCCCUCGAUACUGUCCAUCUGUUUGAAAUUAUCAAUAGUUGUAGUUAUAUCAUGAAUUGUCCUCUAUAUUAAAGUCUGGCAUUGUACUGCACAGGAAUUUCCAAUAUAGCUUGAUGACAGUUCCUUGGGGUCUUCUUGGAUGUUCAGUUAUAUAAAGAUUGGUCACCAGUUGGUAACUUCCAUGCUAUGGUACUGAUAUGCACAAUGAAAAAAUUGAUUGAUUGCAUGGUAAUUUUCUAUACUGCACAUAAAUCCUUUCAUGUCAUAAUCAGAUGAUGGGUUCUUUGGACUGUUGCUUACGGGUACGGCUAUCGGGCACUAGUUCAUAUCUAAGUGUCGAAUUUUUUAUUUUCUAAAAUAUAGGAUGCAGGAACAUUUUUAAAGAGAGUCCAAAUUUCAGAUACGGAUACGUGGGUAUGUCUUUAAUAAUUCAAUUUUUUUACAAUCUAAAAUGUAAUUUUGAAUAGACCAAAAUUAUUCACAAAGAAGGAAAUAAAUAUUGAAUAAGAGGUUAAAACGAAUAAAAUAGAAUUGUGAGACAUAGUUUUCAAUUAUGAGAAUUACUAAAUGUUAUAUAAAAUAGAAAAUGAAGAAUUUGAUUGUAAUUUGGACUUCGUGAAGCAGUAAUUAGCACUAUAUUAAACUUAUUUUUAUUUUAUACAAACUAAACCUUAAAUUACCAUUAUAGAGAGAUAAAGAAGGAAAAGGAAGAAAUUGGAAAGAAAAAAUAAAUAAGAAGAAGAAGGAAGGAAAAGAAAAGGGAAAAAGUAAAGGAAAAAAAAGAAGAAGAAGCAAAAACGAUGAAGCGUUCGGUUGAAAUUUGGAGGAUCUGAUACAUAUUUCAUACCCUUACCCAUGUUGUGACGUAUCCGACACGGGUAUUUCAACUAUUUUGAAUAGUCUUGAGCAUCAGAGGCAAUUACUACAACCCUAUUUUCAACUGGCGUGUGGUCUUUAUACGUAUGCCUUGGUUUUGGUUAAUGUUAAUAUUUAAAGGUUUUAAUUAAUUUUUCUUUUUUGUAUAUCUAUCCAAUGAAGGUGUAAAAAAAAGAAUCGAAUAGAAUAGGUCCUUUCUAUUUUUUUUUUAAAUUUAUUAUUAUUAUUAUUGGGAUCUUGAAAGAAGUUUGUUGAUAUUUUUUAUUAUGGCCCCGUUUAGUACACAUUAAUGUAAAAAUGAGAAUGAAAAAUAUAGUCGUUACGGGCUCCACACAAGAGAUAGAAAGUCAAAUAUGGUGGCUUGAUGUGACGGAUAAAGGUCAUAUUUUUCAUUUUAAUGGGCAAAUAAUGAGAAACAAACGGGGACUAAAUCUUUUUGCUCCUUGAUUUUCCAGGGGAAAAAAUUUAUUGUCAUUAGAAAAUUAUUUAUUGAUUUUUUUGUUGUUGAUUAGUUUGUCAUGAACUUAUGGGGAUUUGUUCUAUAUAGAAUGCAGAUAUAAAAUCCAGGUGUAACGAUAUCAGAGUGGAUUAUUGAGGUUAUGCACUUCUAUGCGUUACUAAAAUUCAGUGCAAUUAGUUAAGCUAAGCUAGAAACGCUUGAAUUAUAUCACUUCACUGCUGUCUUGCUCUGAUAUUUUAUUUGAUCUUUCCCUUCAGUGUUUUGCUAGAUCUGUGCCACCUUCUGCUAGUAAGUUGAAGUUCUUUUGUCUCUACCUUCAUUUAUGUAAUUGAGCAUAUCAGAAUGAUAGUUGGAUGUUAAAUGAUCUAAAGGUCGGAUGAAUGAAGUAAACAUCAAGGCUCCGGAAAAAAAACGUUGUGUCGUACCUUCAAUUUCAAGAUGAUAGAAUUAGGGGAGGAUUUAUCAGAUUCUGAAUUUCCCCAUUUUCUUGGAAGUUCCGUGGUAAAAUAAAAUACCAUGGAGUUUAAAUAUCUUGAAGAAAUGAACAAAGUCUUGGGUGCUUUUGCAGUUAGUUUGGUUGAAUGAUCAAAAUCUAGUAGAUAUCUGAUGUUACAAAUUUGAAGUGCUCCUCAUUUGUUCACACACUUUUUGCUUCCGAGGUCAGUGACAUGAUCUUAGAUGGCUGUUGGGGAUGAAGUUAGAUAUUUUCUUUCCCGUUGGAUAUCAUUCUACUCUUUACUGUUAUCCUUCUUGUCCGUGGAUCCCGUGUCCGUCAGUAGUUCAUAAAGUUUUUGAUGGAGAGACUGCAUUGAAUGAGCAUGGAUCUGUAAUAGUUUCCCGGUUAUGAUGUUUUUGAGCAUCACUUUAUGCAGGUGACUUGUCCACUAAAUGUUAGUCAUAAUUGGAUUUUGUUACUUCAUGUUGUGAACAAUUUCUUUCAGGUCAUGGGUAUUCUGUGAUGGUGUAGUUGUGAGGUUGAUUACUGAGGCUGAACUAGCAAAACUUGGUUGCAGGCUCAUGUGGUUCUAUGCUGGUUAAUUCAAUGAUCAUUUUCCCCUUUUCUUUAAGGUGUUGGUAACCUCUCAGGGUGGUGGUGUGCUAGCUGCUGGAUGACGCGUCUUCCCUGGGUGACGACUGAAAGUUCGUUGCAGGUUCUCUGGAUUUAUCUGCUUUGUUUGAUCUUGUUUUCAAUUCAAUGAUUCUUCAUUUCAUCUUUGUUGAAGAUAUACAAACCAAAUUCAAUUGUUUUCAAAAAAGAUGCUACUGAUGCAGCACUGGAGAUUUAUGAUUCUUAAGGAUUUUGAAAAAGGCAGAUUGGCUUCUUUCGCUUGUGGCAUAUUCUAUUUUUAAUAAUGUGAUUGACUUUGCAUCUCUUCCUUGCACGAUUGAAUUUGCAGUUCUGCAAGGCUUCAUGGUGAUAUUCGUGAGUUGAAAUUUCUGCCUGGAUGUUUUC